CCCUCAUGUUGACGUUCUGUCGGUUCCUCCUCGGUUCCCUCAUGUUGACGUUCUGUCGGUUACUCCUCGGUUCCCUCAUGUUGACGUUCUGUCAGUCCCCUCACGUUGAUGUUCUGUCAGGUUUCUCCUCAGUUCCCUCAUGUUUACGUUCUGUCAGGUUCCUUCAUGUUGACAUUCUAUCAGGUUUCUCCUCAGUUCCCUCAUGUUGACGUUCUGUCAGGUUCCUUCAUGUUGACGUUCUGUCAGGUUUCUCCUC
ensembl:lncRNA